CGGGAUGCCCAGGCAACCGCGCGGCUAAACAGCCUCGAGGAAAGUCCGGGCUCCACAGCACAGGGUGGUCGAUAACGUCGACUCAAGGUAACUUGCAGGCCAGUGCCACAGAAAACAAACCGCCCCACACAGGGGUAAGGGUGAAAAGGUGAGGUAAAAGCUCACCAGUGCCGCAGGUGACUGCGGUAGCUCGGUAAACCCCACCCGGAGCAAGGCCAAACAGAGCGCGCCAGUAAUCAGUGCGGUGAAGCGCUCGGGUAGGCUGCUUGAGCCCCCAGGCAACUGCGGGCCUAGAUGGAUGGUUGCCGCCCACGUUGGUGGGUACAGAACCCGGCUUAUCGGGCAUCCUGUUCA
rnacentral:RNase_P_RNA from 1 species